GAUGAACGCUGGCGGCGUGCCUAAUACAUGCAAGUCGAGCGAACAGACGAGGAGCUUGCUCCUCUGACGUUAGCGGCGGACGGGUGAGUGACACGUGGAUAACCUACCUAUAAGACUGGGAUAACUUCGGGAAACCGGAGCUAAUACCGGAUAAUAUAUUGAACCGCAUGGUUCAAUAGUGAACGACGGUUUUGCUGUCACUUAUAGAUGGAUCCGCGCCGCAUUAGCUAGUUGGUAAGGUAACGGCUUACCAAGGCGACGAUGCGUAGCCGACCUGAGAGGGUGAUCGGCCACACUGGAACUGAGACACGGUCCAGACUCCUACGGGAGGCAGCAGUAGGGAAUCUUCCACAAUGGGCGAAAGCCUGACGGAGCAACGCCGCGUGAGUGAUGAAGGUCUUCGGAUCGUAAAACUCUGUUAUUAGGGAAGAACAAAUGUGUAAGUAACUAUGCACGUCUUGACGGUACCUAAUCAGAAAGCCACGGCUAACUACGUG
rnacentral:rRNA from 1 species